rnacentral:rRNA from 1 species
UACGGGGGGGGCAAGCGUUGUUCGGAAUUACUGGGCGUAAAGGGCUUGUAGGCGGCCAACUAAGUCCGACGUGAAAUCCCCAGGCUUAACCUGGGAACUGCGUCGGAUACUGGAUGGCUUGAAUUCGGGAGAGGGAUGCAGAAUUCCAGGUGUAGCGGUGGAAUGCGCAGAUAUCAGGAGGAACACCAAUGGCGAAGGCAGAUCUCUGGGCCGUAACUGACGCUGAGGAGCGAAAGCAUGGGGAGCGAACAGG